CAGCUAUUGGGGUGCCUGGAUUUGGGGUCCCAGCCCCCCUUUUUCCCCCCCAGAUCGAGGAGAUCUUCAAGAAGGCCAUUGGGAACUUUGGGGUCCCGGGGUCCCCAGCUAUUGGGGUCCUGUGCUUUGGGGUGCCUGGAUUUGGGGUCCUGGGGCCCCCAGCCAUUGGGGUGCCUGGAUUUGGGGUCCUGGGGUUCCCAGGUUUUGGGGUGCCGGGGUCCCCACACAUUGGGG
rnacentral:lncRNA from 1 species